UCUAUUAAACGAAAAAUUAUAUAUUUCCACAAUUUGAAAUAAAAAUACUAAAAGAUUUUAUAUAUUUUCACUAUAAAUUGUGUAAUUUUACAUAACUUUUUACAGUGUAAUCUCUUAGAGGAACGAACGACACUCUAUACGAGAGCGUGAAAAAUCAGCCGAAAUCCGGAUGGGAAUAAUCGCGAUCCGUCCCGAAAAUCGAUUGGUAAAAAACGUACAUCGACCGGUUUUAACGAUCGCGUCGUGCAUUAUUUCAGUGACGAUUUGCUGGGGCCGGUCGUCGCUACCACUGCCGAUAUAGCUCGUUAGGUAGGCGCCACGCUUCAUUUUUCGCAAGCUGGCUCAUUUUGCGCGGACCUAGUCUCCGUUUUCCCGUCCCGUAAUUCUCGCGAAUAUUAACACGUGGAGUGCCGGCCGACGAUCUGCUAAUUCUGCACGCAGAGAGAUACCGUUACCGCGCGCGCACCCACCGAUUGUACCUCCACGCAAUGCGGAGGCACGCUUAAGUGCGCUGUGUAUAUAUAAAUACAUAAUAAUAAUUGAAUAGCCUGUAUACGCACAAAUGCCUUCGCGUUAAUCGGCGGCGUAUCUUCUCGAGGGAACCUUUAAUACCUAGACGCUGCUUGUUACUUAUGUUUUACAUUACGGCUGGUUGUGAUGAUGGGAAUAAAAGAUAAAAAUUUUGAGUAAUACCCGAAGAUAACGAACGAUCAAAGAUAAUACGCGUAUGCGACUCGUAACAAUCAAUUAUUGACAACAAUUUUAUUAUUGACAACAUCUCAAGUUUACAUUUUCAGAAUAUAUCGCGACGGAAGACAUAGCGCUAACUCUUAAGAUGUCAUGUGAGAAAAAGUACCUUCUUUAAUAUCAUUAUGAUCAUUUCCAUUCACUUUUUCAUCUAUUAAAAAUUCAUGAACGUGCUUUCAAAUUUAUGGAUCGAAUGUACUUCAUUUUAGAAAACAAUAAGAUGUAAUAUAAUUUAAUUAAUCUUAAAAUUACGAGAAAUUUCUGUAAGAUAGAAAUCAGUCGAACACAGAAUAUCGACCUUAAGAGUUAGUAUAUUUUAUCCUUUUUAUUUAUUAAAUUUAUUAAAUAUGAAUUGUGCGUUCACGAUAUGCCGCGUGUUACAAUUUCAGUUACUUUUCAACACUUUGAAAUAAGAAUAUUAAUAAUUAUUAGUAUUAAUUGGUAAAUUAUGCAAACUCUUGUAUUACUGUCUUAAUGAGAUUCAAUCAAUAAUCCUUUACAAUGUGGCACUCAACGUGUUAAUCACUGUUUACGAUAGUUGUACUGAGCUAAUUUGUUUUCCCGGUGCAAUUCGCGUUUACAUUCUUUCGCUACAGCUUCGUAGCGUGGAGCCAUUCACGUGUCAUCGACUGAUCUCGUGAAAGAUUGCGCAAAGUCCGUUCGAAACCAUUCCUUGGGGUGGCAUACGAAUAAUAAUCGGGUUUGCCUCUUUUUCUUGUCUUUCCGCUCUCUGGGUUUUUUUACGACGGUUUUUCCCGCCGUUCACGUGACAUUAUUGAGAUACAAACGACGGUUUUAAGCUUAUAAUGCACGUGAAGCAAACGUGAAUCUCAGAAUUGAUGGUGAAUGAGAACGCAAUUGUCUGUAAUUUUUCCCAAAGGUUUUUUCGUUAAAAGAUGCGCAAAAUUCGAUUGGUGAUUUUGUCCCUUUCAAUUCGUGAGAAAUGAGUUCUUGAUUUACGGAUCCUCUGAGAAAAAAUUAUUAAUGCUCGUAAUUUUCUCUUUAACCACCCUAUUCGGGCAUCUAUUCAAAGGGAACUGGUUUUACGCUUUGAAUAGGCAUGCGUUUGUUUGUUAGGCAGGAUAUAUGGCAAACGAAAUUCAGAUUUUAAUAUAAACGUUUUCAAACAGGGCGCAGCGAUUAAUCGAUACAAAAAAGACAAAACAGACACGAGAUGAUAAAUUCCUCUACCUAGCAUUUAACGAUUGACGAAUCUUGGUUGUAUAAGACAGUACUUAGAUCAGAGAUGCCUCAUUUUUAGAUCAAAUUAAAAAAAUUAAAAUCAAAUUUUUAAUUUAUUCACCUUCAGUAAUGCAUUUAUGAUAAAAUGCUGCAUGAUAUUUACGAAGUGAUGGUCCGUAGCGUCGUUUAAAUUAUUAAUUUCGGAUAUAAAUUUUUAAUGAGACGUGUAUCAUACACGUGAAACGGCUGGUGUAAUAUUAGCGUGGAAUUUAAUAGCGCUUGGGAUUCUCGGCGAGGCUUAUCGCGACUCGCAAAAUCGUCGGCGAUCUCACCGAUCGAGCCUCGGCUCCGGGGAAACGGAUCGUCGCGGUAAAUUCCUGAAGCCACCACGGGCAUAAACAGCGCGUGAAAUGUGUUUGACGGGAAAAUCGGUACUCGUCGCGAGACAACACGAAGCGAGCGAGAAACGAGCGAGCGACUGCCACGCAUGAGAGAGUAAAGAAAAAUUCGACCUCGAAUUUUAUUUAAGAAAUUGACUCCGGCUGUCGGUUUAGGAAACCAAUAAUUAUCCUCGGCGAAAAAGUGUGUUGUAGGCGACGCAGAAGAAUCGGGGGAUAAUAAAUGAGAAAGGAAGGGAGAGAGAAAGUGCGACCGCGGGGCAAAACGACGAGAGACUGUGUCACGUUUCUAAACGUAACGAUGUACAUGUACUAUAUAAUUGCGUAAGCGUUUGUAUAUGAUAGUUAAGAAUUUUUCGUAAAAUUAUAAACCGUUAGGGACGCGCGUUUAGCAUAAAUCGUGUGCGUGCGCGUACGCACGGCCGUACACACAUACACACACGUGGCGAACAGGUGCCUCGGAGUUCGUUGGGCGCGUUAACCCUCUCGCUUCGUGAACCCUGUGCAUCUCCCGCCCUCCCCCUCUCUCCUCUAAUUCGCAUUAUUCGCGACGAAUCGCACCUUCACAUCGCGACCUGUCGCACCCCUGGAAGCGAGAGGAUCGAGUCGCGUGAAAAUCUGGCAUUCGCGAAACUCUCCCCCUCCCCCCCCCCCGUUUCGAUCCUACCGUAUCAGAUUCAAAGAAUCUGUUCGUUCUCAUUCCCUUUACGAACUUUCUCGUCGCUCGGUGAUGCGAAACCACUCUUAAAGUUGAAGAUGCGCAUCCUAGCGAUAAAAGCGUUAAAAGCAUCUAAGGAAUUGUCAGUGGCUUACCAGAGAAAGAGUUAAAGAGCUUAACUUGUAACUGAGAAAAAGAUUCCUAAAAAUUUUUUUGCAGGUCAUAAGUUUGUUUCGCCGAGCUAAAUCUUUAUUCAAAAAACACAGCGAAAUAAAAUUUUAUUCCUGGCAAGUAAACCAAUUGAUAGUAAAAACAUAUUUUACAAAUAUAUAUAUUUUGCAGAAAUAUAUAUUUCGCUAACACAAUAAAUUUUUUAAUAAAAUAAUAAGUAUACGAAUAUAAUGAUUAUUGAAGAAGACAUUACAAGUGACAUUUCUUCAUGUUUUAACUCUUUUCUCAGUCUACAAGAGAAAAUUUAAUUUUUAUCUUAUAGAAUUUAAUUUAUUUGAAGAAUGAAGAAUUCUCUUUUUUAUACAUAUACGUUUAUACAUGACUGAGAAUCUUCAUUCUUGAUAUUCUAUAAUUCUUUUUAUAUUUUUAACGAUUAAUGUUUUAAUUUUUUUUUCUUUUGUAUGAUUUCUCGCUCAAUAUUAAAGGUGAUUUAUAAUAACGAAGAGCAAGUGUGCAUGUACGUACAUUAGAUGUAAUGUACAUAUAAUUUACAAUCACUUACGUCAAAUUGCUGAGUUCAGCGUUGCGUUUAGUGUCUCGCCUAAUGGGCUCGCUCACGACUUCUAAGAACCGCCGGAUUAUUCCAUGAUGCGACCAGUUAUUCUGUAAUAACCUAUCACUAUCCGAUGGAUGCCAUCUGCAGUCUCGAGGGAUUAUCCCGGGGAAAUUGCGUGGAAAAUUACUUUCGCGAAGUGGACGAUCGGCGCGCGAGUCGAUCAGCGAUUAGGGACGAUUGAAGGUUGUCAACCGGUCGGCCGCGCAGAAUUUUCGGCUUGAGAUCGACGGACGCGGGAUUUUUUCUUUUUUUUUUUUCUCACGCGUGCGAUAGCGACUCGCGGAGCGGAGACUAGUCGUCGAAAAAAAAAAAAAAUAACGGAGCGAACAUUCGUCAAACGAAUGUUCGCCAAGUUGCGGUCCACGAUUAUUCGCGUACACCCGCGACACGGGCGCAGCGUGCAAUGUACAACGAACGAGGUAGAGGUACUUGUUCGAGCGAUUAGAACAAGCUACUGUUUUAAGUCACGUAGACAAGCGGGAAUUUAGGAUCGGUUUCUCUCACACAACGUGUGUGUCGGUUGGCCCCCAGCCUCGAUUCGCCCGAUUCUUUGUUUUUCCUGAAUCGUAACACCAGUAGUGGUCAGUCACGAAAAGACUUCCUUAGAAGUUUCAAAGAUAUAUUACAUACAUAUCUGAGUAACUAGUAUAAUUUAGUUUAAUUCAGUUUCUGUUAAGGUUAAACUGCGGGAUAAGGCCUUUUUUAAUUAAACAGAAAGAAUGAUUCGCAGAACAGAUAGGACAGAUAAGAAAUACGAUAACGAUAACAAACGCACUCUGUAUAUGGAGGAAGAGAAUCGGAUCGAUCGCGGGGCCAGGCGCCAAGCGAUGAGACCGGCUCUUAGACAAUGUAAUGAUCAUAUUACUGAUAAGGAAGAAUAAGUGCGAAGAACAAAGUCGGUUAGCUAGUAGAUUAACGAUGUUUUUUAGCGACCAGGACAACGUAUUUCUCGCUGUAUAAUUUAUUUCCUCAUCGCGACCCUCCUCGCCGAAGGGAACGACCAAUCGAUCGCGUAUCGCCUACCCUCGUUUACGCAAUCGAUUUUUAUCUCUAUCACAACACGAUAAUUGUAACGUGUGUUUUGUAGUAAAAAAAAAAAUCGAAUUCCACGACCUUUUAAAUCUAUGAUUAACCCUGGUAGAAAUUUAUGCAGUUUUUCUAACAUCCAUCAAGUUAUACUGUCUAUUUAAUAUUAUGAUAGCCUCAUUAGUUGCAGCAAUAUUGCAUUGGAAAUGGACAAGAACUUGAUGGAAUUUUAAUCAAUGACUGAUGCGCUUUUUGGUAAAAAUAAACAUAAACAUCUGUCUAGUAUUAAUAAACAGGCUUUCAGGCUUGCUUGUUGAUUAAUUGACUAGUCCAAUGUUUUCGUUUAGUAAAUAAAUUUAAAUUUUGCGCAUUGUUUGUGCACAGUAACUGCGGGCAAAGGCGUUACAUUUUAAUUUCAAGUAGUUUUACGUCUCAAUUAUCAGACAGAAAUGAUAUAAUUAUCCAGAGACUGCACAAAAAGUGCAUGAAAUUUCUGCCAGGGUAACUUUCUGUAUUCGAACUUUGUGUAUUCGAAGUUUGUAUCUGUAUUCGAACUUGAACACCUGUUAGAAAUUGGUGGAAUCAAGCGUACUGUAAAUAAUAAAGUAGCUGACAAUCAUCACGUUAUUACCGAUCAAUUAAAUCGUUAAAUGUCGGUUCCACUCUUGGAAUGUAAAAUCGUAUUCGGAGCGAGCUCUAGAAAAUAAUUAUUUGUGUUUUUGAACCUGUGCCUGAAACCUGUCAAUCAUCGUGUUGUGACGCAACAAAAAUCGCACGUGUAAAGGAAGCCUAAGGUUGUGCUGACGACCUGGUUGAUUUAGACUUAUCUGGACGCUUGAAAAUUUUUCUAGCAAAAACUCUCGAAAGUCGGAUUUAGAGAAAUUAGAUCUCAAUUGAAAAAAAAAAAAAAAGUUUUCUCUAUCCAAAAGAGAGAUUUUUGUUGUCGCAUACUGGCUCUCCCGGUACUAAAGUUUUGAGCGUUCAGUCUGGCUCUGGUUGGCAAUUUGUCCUUUUGUAGAUCGUAGCUGUAGAGAGCAACAAUAGAGGAAGAGAAAACCCAAAAUUGAGUUAACCAGAAUGGAAAUCAACCGGCGUCGGUGCGCCCGCAGUGUCCUUUAUUUCGUAACCCAACGAAACAUUCUAGAUCGUUGUUCCUCGGUCACUGUGUAUGUUAUUGGUGACUGGCAAAGCCUCAAGUUUUUACCUUAACCAAAAUGGAUCUUGCGUUGGACACUGUUUCCUAGUUCGCGGAGUGUAUUAUAGAUUACGUAUGUACGUGCCUGCGAGAAAUAAAACUUGGCGACACACAGACACAACACAACACACACACACACACAUACACACGUGUGCAAUCCCACGUUCGUUUACAAUCCGUAGCCUUUAAACGCUCGCAUCGUACCUUUUUACCGCUAAAGCGUAUACGCGGAACAAGUUCAUGGCAUAAUUACUGUGUAAUGUCACUGUCGCUUUGUUCCUAGCAUAAUCGAAGCGCAUAAUCCAGGCAACGCGCAGCUUUAAUAUUCUGGAAAGCUGAGCGGUGUGCGUAUUUAAUUAAUUACUGCGGUCGCGCGGCGAACAUUGUGAUAGCUACGUAGUUGCGAAUUGUCGUCCCGCAGCGAUAACAAAUUGUGAUCCGAGAUUUAUACUCUUAAUCCGUAAGUCGUAGCAUGUGAGAGAAUUACAGAUCAAUAUCAUUUUAAUACGUCCUGCAUUGUAUCCCUUGGUGUAUCAAUUACUGUACUUGUUAAACGCGGUUUAGAAACGCAAACCGCGUCUACAGAUCAUUUUUCACAUAUCAUAUACAACGCUAGAUUAUUAAAUUUUUAAUUGUCUAAUUUUACACGAGAUCGGAGGCGAUUAUUUUUAAAAAGCGGCUUUUCGCUUUUAGGUAUAGUCGAAAGCUAAGAUUCUUGUAUUUCGUAACUUUCAAAUCGUUCGCGAAAAAAAAUAUGUGCUUAUAUAAGUUUGCGAUUAAUUUGUUUUUAAUUGACUCUGUUGCGAAAAUUGAGCAUCUAUCGUCUGUAUUGAGAUAUUAUGCGCUUAUUUCCCGCGUUAUUUUAUUUUCGGAAAUUCGCGCUUAUGUUCGCGCCUUCUCAUCCCGAUGUAUCCCGACUGAAUGGUAUUGUUACCUAUAUGCUCUCGUCGUAAAAAUUGCGAGAUAGAUCUCCGAUGAAAUGUACAGGGCGCGCGAAAGAGUUAAUACCCGUCGAGGACGAUAGUCCCAGUUAAUUCUAGUACGAUCUUAAUUGCGCCUGCCUAUGUUUGUUCCUAGCCAAAUAUUUUUCCACUUUGAUCGCCAAUGAGAGGGUGAGUUUUUGAGAUAAUUUUGCAGCUCUUUUUUUUAAUAUCACAAAGAUGAUCUAUUUACCGACUAAUAUCGUCACAACGUGCGAUGAUAAUUUCUGUAAAUGUACAUAAGCUCUCUCGCGCGAGAAAAGUGAAAUUUGAACGGAACGAAGAAUGCUGCCACAAUUACCUGCGUGAUUUCGAAGGUACAGGCGUACAACAAAAUACACACACACAUACACACACAUCAAAACACAAAUGCGUACACGCUCUCUGUCUCUCAGGUACGCGCGUCGCAUACGUACUGGUCAUUAUUCGUUUGCACGCAUGUCUUUUCCACGCACCUCUCGUGCCCCUGAUGCCUACCUGGAGCAGAGCGUUUUAAUUUACGAUAAUACGUUUUCGUUUAUCGUUUUAUUUAGUCGGCAAUAAGACUUUUCCUAUAUUUUAAGUUGUUAACGUUGCACACGAAGAUAUGUUUAUUUGCGCCGCUGCGACGCGUCCGGCAGUUUCGAACACGCAAAUUAAUUAAUCCUAGCAUUAUUCGAAGGGUAAAGCUUCGCCUUUGUACACCAAAGUAGCCUUUGAUUGUGAAUGUCAAAAUUUUCAUUAGUUUAUUGUAAAAUUGCGAAACAAAAUGAAUUUGGUUUAACAGACAAUUAAUUUAAAGAUCUUUUUUAAAUAAUUGGUGACUUGAUACUAGAGAGAAAAUGUAUUGGUUUUUAAAUAUUUUUGCAACUGUAAAUUGAGUACCUUGAAUUUGCUAGGAUAAAUUAAUCAUUCGACUCCCUCCGCGAAUUUUUGUGGCAUUUAAUUUCGCAGAAAUCCGCGUUUGACGAUUUUUCUUAUCACGUUUGAUUUUAUCAUGUUAUACUGCCGCUCGCAUUUAUGCAUUUCGCAUUUCUUUCUUAUUUCGUACCUUGCCGUAUACGAAUUUUACAUUUUUGUCAAUGAUAUUAUUCCGCAUUAUGCAUGUACGACGACGACGACGACCGACGUUUCGUGUCGGUGAACACUUUUGCCCUUUUUUAUUACAGUAUAUUUCACCGCAGGUUUUCGGUGCAAGAACGAGAAGAAAAGACCACGAUAUACGUAAAGCUCAUUUUUAGAUACGGCUUCAUCUUUAAAGUAAACUUCGGUCAAGUAUGAACCCGCCGCGUUUCCGCACACGAACUCUUUAAUUUACUCCUCACGCGAACUCGCGCUUAUGACUUUCUCAAGUUUUUCGCGGAUGCUCGCAGCGGCUAAUCGCGUCUCAGCUUUUAUACCGCCGUAACAUGUGUAUUGUCACAAACCUAAAAAAUACAUACACACACACAAAACAAGCACGAACGCACACACACACACGCAUACACACGCAAUGAACACAAAUACGUACACACGCGUCCGUCUACUCCGGUUUUACGUAAGUUUAUGCUAAGUUUUUAGGAUAUUAACAUGGCUUCUCAUUUUAUUUAAGCGACAAUGCAAAGUUUGAUCUCUUACUCGUACAUACAUCAUUAUGAAUAUAAAUAUUAUAAAUAAAUACACAUACAUGGAUAAUCCGCAUAAUUAUGAUUACGCGAGGAAUCAUGCUCGUUGCGUUCCUUCCCUCCCGUGUUCCUUCCCUCUUCGCGGCUAGCGAAUUCUUUCGACGGACGACGAGGGGACGAGGCACGCCGUCGCGCGUUCCUCUUCUCCACGUGGGGAACACCGCAUGUUAUACAUAUAUAAAUAUAUAUAAGGAAAGGAAAAAAUAUAUAUACGAGUAUAGGACGCGAUUCGAGCGUUCGUCCCACGUGUAAAGAUGCAACUUUCAAUCCCACCAUUUAUCCUUCCUCAUCCCUUUUCCCCUCCCUCCCUCCCUCCCUCUCUCUAUACCCGCAAACAAUUGUAAACGCGUUCUCGCCGUGAGUCACGAAAGCGCGAAUAUGAUUUUUUAAAGAACUGCUCCGACUUGAUUAAGAAACGAAAUAAACGCUGCUUAUGACAGUUAAAACAGCAUUCUUUUUUAAAUAUCAAUAUCCCUUAAUGCCCCAUCCGACAUCUUGAUUUCAGAAUCAAGAACGGAGUCAAGAACGGUUUGGCCUCAAAAGUUAAGUGGCUUCUGCCCAGAUUUCUACUGAAAUUAGAGGAGAUUAUUCUCCGAAAGGGCCGGCGAAGCACCAACCUGGAGAAUUGACCUAGAUUCAUUUGCAUAACAAAAAAGUACCCGGCAAGAAUGAGGUAAGUGCAUAAUUUGUUAGAUCCACUCUGAUACAGUCGUAUCUGAGAUAGAUCUUGCAAAUUGUGAGCUUGACUCACUCUUGUACUGAAAGUCGAAUCGAUAUAUAUUUCAUUCGUAUGAGAGAUAUAUUCUUCCCCCGCAUUUUAUCUCGUCGAGCAUAGAAUUGUUAAUAGCAUUGCAAUAUAUAUCGCGAUUUUGUACGAUGUAGAUGGUUGAAAAUAACGUCGGCGGAAUAUUCUGAUUGAACGCGGACAAUAUUAAUCGCGCUAAAACGCAUUCGGCGUUCUCUCGCCAGGUAGAUACGCUUGACGUCGCGGCACUAAAUAAUUAAACGAACGAGCGUAAAAGUUUAUCACAUCGAUGACAUUUUGAGAUACGAGGGCCAUCGACGGACCCGACGCUAGAACAUUAAAUCCGAAACUAUCGUCAUUGGCGGAAAUUCCCAUCGAACGCUUUUCGGACACGCGCGCGCGGGCAGAUUUAUUUCUCUCUCUUGACGGGGGAAGAAGAACGGGAUCGUAUAUCGAGUGUGAAGAAUGGACGCCGAGAAAUAUUCCCUUCUUUCUUUUUUCUUGGACGUUAUUGUGCGCUGGAGUGUUCCCCGUGCCCGAUAGAACGAAACUGCAAAGCAACGAAGGAGAGAGAGAGAGAGACAUCGACGGCACCGUGGUUCCAAUCCUUGACAUUCGCACUUAGAUUCUAUCUGGUGCCUCGCCGUCUAAAAUCCCGAGGACCCUAAAUCGAAACGCUCUCCCCUUCGUGCCACCCAUUCGAGUGCACACAACCGAAUAAUAAUUAUGGACACGACGUCACGCGUGGGUGAUCCUCCUGAGACGAGUACUAAAUUAUAUCUGGGCCGACGUCAUUCUCGGCGGAGGAGAGACAUUGUAUUUUGGGACGAUGUCAUUAAUCGACGCCGGAAUGUUGUCCUCGUCGCGCAAUGAAUAUUCGAUGCGUCCAAUUAUUUUCCACAGUUUUAACGUGGAAACGGAAUGACCACGCAAAUAUUGACGUUUUUUUUUUUUUGCACUUAUAUGCAUGUUUUUACGCAUCUAAGUUCUGAUUAUCUGAUCUAUUAUAGAUGAAGAAAUGGGAAUUACGAGCGGAUUGACGCUAGUGAGCAAAAGCCUCAAUGUAAGUAUGAAUUUAGGGCAAUUCAAUUAAGCCACGUCCGGUAAAUGAGAGUACCAUCAUUAAAUAUACUUGACUGAUACGUAUCGGACGGGUGGACGGACGAACGGACGCUCAGACGGAUAUGUAUCAUCCAUGUCUAUUUAUUGAUUACACCUUCCGGUGAAAACGGGACAUUGCGCAAAGUCGUCGAUGUUUGACCGCGUCAUAUAACCGAUGUGCUCCCGAUAAUACGCGGUUAUCGUUUGAUAUAGCGCUUAUCUGCUGCGCUGUAAUUAUUAGCAAUACUACAAGUUAGUUUUUAUAUCGCAAUUUUAUUGCAACACGUGUUCAUUUCUCUGAUUUACUUGAGCGCAUAUGCUUAUAGAAAUUUAUCAAUUUGGUGCUAUAUUAAUCUUCUGUAUACACGAAAGAGUGAGUUUAUAUUCUGCGUAUUUUUUUUUCCAACUAAGAGCAUUAUAUACAGUCGUAAUAUUUAUGUACUAUUUUUUCAAUAAAAAACCUAUACAAAUACUUUCUACAGAUGUUAAAGGAUGUAUAAGAGUCAUCAAAUAAUUUUUUUACACUUGUAAAAGAUACGAAAAUUAACUCAAAAGUUAGUUACAGACAAAAAAUUCGAACAUAUUGUAUGUUUGACCUGUUCAAAUAAUUCGAAGUAAAAAAAUAUCCAGUUCGCAUUUUAGAUCGUUCGGACAGUUUUAAAAAUUAAAGCUAUGUUUGUCACAUUUCAAAGUAUUAUCUAAAACUUAAAAUUUUUAUUAUUUUGUUAUUGCGUUAAAAUAUCUGAGCAUAAUUCUCUUAUUGGUUUGAAGAAGUUAUUUAAUUCUUUAUUUGCUAUUUAUUUUUAUGUAUAAUUGCAUUUUCUAUUAUUUAUCGGCAAAUAGGAAAUAGUAUUACAAAUUAAAUCUUUUACAUAUAUAUUAACGAAAUUAAUUAAUUCUUGUCGUAUAAUAGUUUAUUUGGAUCCAUUAAUUCGUUUAUAAUUUAUUCACUUAAAACUAUAGCAAAAUGCAGCAACAGUUAUUUUUCAGGGCCAAAAUUUAGGUAUUCAGUCAAAACUUUUUGUCAUCGAUUACGGAAAAAAAAGAAUAAACCUUAAAGCAGUUUUAACUUUCACACUAACUUUUAGCUCGUAUGUUAAAGCUAAAACACUUUUAAGCAGUAUUGAUCUGUAAUGUCAAUUCGUUAUGCCUGAAGUUCGGACAGUUCGAAUAAUAUAAUAAAGAAGUUUAAAACACAUUAAAAAGAGUAAUUUUUUCACGGGUAUUUUCUUUUUUACAUUAAUGUGUCAAAGAAUUUUGAUUCAAACUUUAUUUUAGACUUUCGGAUCUGACGUAUAUUCAAACAGUUUGAACAUAUCUUUAGUUUAAAAAAGUUUGAAUGGUUCAAAUUAUUUAAUCACUUGAUGUUUUUAAACACUAUUCAAAAGUGUCGUGAAUUAAUCGUGUGCAAAGAAGCUGCCAAAAACAACGUGUGUACAGAGGUUUAAUUACUAUUUUCCAAAUUAAAAACAUUAUUUGUUAUUGUUUUUAAUCUUAAAAUAAGUAAUUAAAUAUUAAAUUAUAUGAGUGCUAAAUUGACAAAUUUUUGUAAAGGUAUAAUAAUAAUUUGAUAACUGUAUAAUAAAUGAAAUAAAAAAUGAAAAAAAAAAGGUAAAAGCUCUAAAAAAUAUAUGAAAAACAAGGUAAGAAUAUUCACGUCACAUUUCUAUAUAAAUGUAAAGAUACAUCAAAUAGAAGGAUCUCCACAAAUGUGCGUUCUGUUUUCGUUAAUACUAAAUAUAGAGAGAAAUUAAAAAGUGGGGAAUGUAGGACGUAUAUCGCGGUCAUAGUUCUUUACAGGAAUAGAUAUCCGUCGGGCAAAUGGUUGAUUACUUUCGAAUAAAAUAACAGCUGAAUAGCGACCCUCGAAAGGAUGAUUCAGAAUGAUAAGACUGCCACUCGUACUAAUAAUAAAUAUGUUUAUCCUCACGAUCGAGAACCGCGAAGCCAUCCCACAUUACAGAUAAUUAUAAUCCCAGCGUUGGUUUUCAACGUGACACGAUCGAUACCCCCCCAAGCGUGUGUUACGACAUUCCAGUUAAUUCUGCCUAUCAUUAUUGUCUAUUAAUAUAAUGCUCGGCUCGUAUAACUCGAUAUAGCACUUGAUUUGCGUCAAUAUAGCAUUAUUUUCAGAGAGACGCGAUGUACUCCCUAAAUGUACCUCUUCCUGCAACCGGCCGUACAAUGUCGUUCAAUUAACCUCCACCUUGUUAAUUAACCCUUGCACGUUAUUACCCCUUGAUUUGUCACCAAGUGUUCAUCACGAACCCUUAAGUCAUUCAUGGGCAUUAUUAGUUCUCAUUACCUACAUUAUAACGUGCAAACUUUAUCUGAACGUUAGAACUUUUGGAAAAAAAAAUGUAUUUUGUUGAAAGUCCGCAAACGUGAUAAUUAAUGCGUACAAGUGCUCUUAUCUCGAGAGACUUCAUUAUCCAGUGCUAUUCUCGAUUACAAUCGAAAACGUUAGAAAGCAAUGGAAAUCAAUCCUAUUCAAAUUCUAUACAGCCGAAGCUCUGUUACGCUCUCCCAAAAUCGUGUCCGGGGGAUUAAUGUCGAGCCUAGUGCGUCGAUAUAUCGGUUUCCUGCAAAUGACCUGGUUCGCAAAAGGUUGCAAGGGUCAAUUAAUCACAAUAUCACUAUCAUCCGCUUCGCGUUACCCUCCGCGGCACGUACUGGCAGCUUCGCUUCUAAACGCACUCAUUCAUCACCGGCACCUGAUAUCGGCUAUUUUCGCACACGCAAGCCCGACACACAUUUUAUUUAACUUGCAUUAUUUAACUUCGAUUAAACGAAACGCGGCACGCGUUUAUCCGGCAUUCGAUUCGCUUUUUUGCUCGUAUGAUGAAAGAUGCAUCCGCGAUAUCGAGACGGUGAAGAAGAUAAAUUCGCCAUCUCAGACUUCGAUCGAAGACGACAUGCAACAUCUUAAUCGAAUUCAAAGCUCUUCUUACUGCUGUAAGUAAGCUGACAACAUGACGCGACGGGGAUGCAAAUGUGGGGCAGAUCGAAACUACAAUCAUCCGACAUUGACUGCCUCCUCGUCGGGAGUCGGGGGUAUUUUUAAUCCCUUCCCCCUCCCCCUCUUCCGCGGCCGGGAAGCGGUGGUGACGAGCUUGACGUCAAGCAGGCUAGAGACACGGAUGAUUUGCUCCAGCGUGGCGGUAUAUGUACAACAUACGAUAUACUUUGUCAAUAGAAUGGGAUGCGCCGCCGCUCAGGUGAUCGAUCGGUCACCGCCUUCCUCUCGCGAUCGUCUCCUCUCCCUCCGCGACAUUUUCCCCCUGUCGUGUCUUGGAGGCCGUGCGUUGAUCGAUCGCCGUCUGGCCUUGAGAUCACUCGUCCGCCACGCGGAAUAUCGAUAAUUUUAGUUGCACAUAUAUAAUAAUGCUCCAUUAAAUUAUCGCCAUGGGCACGAGAGAGAGAGCGAGAGAGAGAGAGAGAGAGAAAAGAUUGUCUUAACUCGAGAAGGAAUCGAAGGAGUUAUGCAAUAAAUCAGAGACUGUACACGUGAAAAGGACAUGUAAACGUAUGCGAACGUUAAAUAUAUGCGGUAGAUACGUAUUCCGUUAUUUAAA